UGCAAGGGCUGUGAUGGUCUCAGAGGGUUAGGCUUCUCAGAUGGCUGGGCAUCAGCUGGCCGUGCUUUGGUUAUAUGAUUGGUGGAAAAAGAAGUGGGAGGUGAGGAGUAACUCCUGGGCCCUGAUGAUUAUUCAAGCCAAGUACAGGUCUGGAAAGCCUGUACACAAAGGAGGAGCUCACUGCUGGAGAAAAAGCUGAAGAGCAGGAUGGUCGCCUCAGAUCAUGAACAGUGCUGGCCUGAGGAGGGCAGAAGGAAGGGCUGGGGAAGCCAGCAGGGGAGCAAAGGAGUAGGCUUCAGCUGGGUGAAGAUGUUCGUGCUGUGCGUUAUGUAAAAUAUACAAAUUAUUAUUGGGAAUAACCACAUCUCAGCAGUGCUGGUUCUCAGUCUGGAGAAUGGGAAAUAGAAAGGAUCAGAUUCAGAGAAGGCAACUUACCCAGUGUCACAGCAUUUUAAACUCACAUGAAACCUCGUCCCUUCAUGCCACACUCACCAGCCCCACCCACUUGUGUUGCAACCAAGGCCCCACUGUAGUGCUUAGGAGAGCGGGUCUAGGGCACAGUGCCAGGGCUGAUUAAUGUCUUCCUUACCGUUUUCCAGUGAGGGGCUGUGAUUAGGCCUAUUUAUAGGGGCCUGGUCCCUUAAUAUUCUGCCUGGUGCACCUCUUGCCAAUCAAAUCAGUGCCGUCUGCAGUGUGAUUGCUGCUUUAGUGGCACCAGGGAGAGGAGUUAAUUAAACCCAGUAUAAAUAGACUCUGCCCUCACUUUGCAAUUCCAGGAGUGCUUUUCCUUCCUGUCCUCCACCCCCACAUGCACCUCCUUCCUCUAAGGCCCCCUAAGCUCUUAUCUAGGUGAGCAGGGCUGGACACCCCUAUACCUAGAGUCGCUAGCCACUGCCCAGUCUGUUUCAGGAGCAGACCUCAAAUUCUCAGGGGUUAAAGUGGGAAGAACCCAUGUGUGCACAUUUUUUGUGCUUUUCCAGAACUGGGUACCAUUUGGCAGUUGAUCAGGCAAUCUCCCCAACUACCCCAUUUCCAUCCCUUGGUUUUCAGCCUCUUUUGUUCUCUGCAACUAAGGUUUCUUUCUUGUUUAUCUGAGGUGGGGAGCUGAACUGAGACAGUGUAUGGAAAGGGUGCCUGGCAGCUACCAAGCACCUUGUAAGGCAUCAGAAAUGUUGCACCUUCUCUGAACUCCUCCGUUGGCCCUACCAAUUCCCCAGUCCCUGGUCCUGCCCUCCCCCUCCCUCAUUCACUCAGCAGGCAUCAGCAGACUCCCAUCUGUGUGCUCCUGGCCUCCCACCAAAUGCUGUGUCCCCUUCUCCCCUAUUUGUGCAGGCUGAAGCUAUGUGCAUAGUUGGGAUGAGGGCUGUGUUGUCUCUCCUUCCUUUCUGAGGAGAAUUGUGUAUGUACUCUUGCCACUCCUUAGCCUUGUACUCAUGGCUGGAUUACAGUGAGUGGGUGCGGGUGGGCGUGGGCAGCUCUGAUGCUCCGGCUCCCACCCACAGGCACCAUGAAUCCUGUGAAGACCCAGCACUCCCUGGCAGGUCAGACGUAUGCCGUGCCCCUCAUCCAGCCAGACCUGCGGCGAGAGGAGGCCGUCCAGCAGAUGGCGGACGCCCUGCAGUACCUGCAGAAGGUCUCUGGAGACAUCUUCAGCAGCCAGCAAAUACGUACCCAAUAGUGUUUGUGUGCAAGGCAUUGUAAGAAUCUCUAUAGAUCCAGCCAUGGAUAAGGCAGCAUCCCUCUCCAGCUGGAGCGCACAUGCUGGCAGGAGAGAAAGAUCUAAUAACCAAUGCAUGAUUAGUUCUUUAAUAACAGUUGUGACAAGGCCUGUUGAUAAUAUUUGGUAGUCACUGUUAUUUAUACAGCAUUAACCAUGCAGCACC